AGCUUUGUGCAGUGGCAGUAUCGUAGCCAAUGAGGUUUAUCUGAGGCGUGAUUAUUGCUAAUUAAUUCCUUGGGUGAUGCAUAUCAUUUUAAUUUGCCAAACCAGAAAAAUGUUGAAAGCCUUCUGAACUCUUCUCAUGUUGG
ensembl:snRNA U4 U4 spliceosomal RNA